GGAGGGGAGUGAAAUAGAACCUGAAACCGUGUGCCUACAACCGCUCAGAGCCCCUUAUGAGGGUGAUGAGGUGCUUUUUGUAGAACGAGCCAACGAGUUACGGUAUGUAGCAAGGUUAAGUACUUAAGGUACGGAGCCGAAGGGAAACCGAGUCUGAAUAGGGCGACUAGUUGCAUGCCGUAGACCCGAAACCGGGUGACCUAUCCAUGGCCAGGUUGAAGCGAGGGUAAAACCUCGUGGAGGACCGAACCACGUUGCUGUUGAAAAAGCAUGGGAUGAGCUGUGGAUAGCGGAGAAAUUCCAAUCGAACCCGGAGAUAGCUGGUUCUCUCCGAAAUAGCUUUAGGGCUAGCGUCGAGUAUGAGUAGUGGAGGUAGAGCACUGAAUGGGCUAGGGGGCAUAGCGCUUACCGAACCUUAUCAAACUCCGAAUGCCACAUACUUUGAGCUCGGCAGUCAGACUACGAAUGAUAAGAUCCGUGGUCAAAAGGGAAACAGCCCAGAUCGUCAGCUAAGGUCCCAAAGUGUAAGUUAAGUGGGAAAGGAUGUGAGAUUUCUAAGACAACUAGGAUGUUGGCUUAGAAGCAGCCAUUCAUUAAAAGAGUGCGUAAUAGCUCACUAGUCGAGAGAUCUUGCGCCGAAAAUGUAACGGGGCUAAACUUACCACCGAAGCUACGGGCUUGAACU
rnacentral:rRNA from 1 species